rnacentral:lncRNA from 1 species
UCUAAUUCAUUCUGGGUAAGGUUUUUAGUAGACCGUUUCCUUCGGCUUGAUAUUCCCAACAUGCAGCCUGAAAUGUUCUCCAUGCUGUCGACUGACAAAUCUCAAGUAUUAGCAAAGUAAAAAUAAUUAGACUUUAUUGAAAAAGAUAUUGCCCAAAUGUCGGGAUUGAUGGCACACGUGAAACUUGAAAACAUUUUAUAAUACAACACAAAAAUG